rnacentral:rRNA from 1 species
AUUGAACGCUGGCGGCAGGCCUAACACAUGCAAGUCGAGCGGAUGAAGGGAGCUUGCUCCUGGAUUCAGCGGCGGACGGGUGAGUAAUGCCUAGGAAUCUGCCUGGUAGUGGGGGAUAACGUCCGGAAACGGGCGCUAAUACCGCAUACGUCCUGAGGGAGAAAGUGGGGGAUCUUCGGACCUCACGCUAUCAGAUGAGCCUAGGUCGGAUUAGCUAGUUGGUGGGGUAAAGGCCUACCAAGGCGACGAUCCGUAACUGGUCUGAGAGGAUGAUCAGUCACACUGGAACUGAGACGCGGUCCAGCCUCCUACGGGAGGCAGCAGUGGGGAAUAUUGGACAAUGGGCGAAAGCCUGAUCCAGCCAUGCCGCGUGUGUGAAGAAGGUCUUCGGAUUGUAAAGCACUUUAAGUUGGGAGGAAGGGAAGUAAGUUAAUACCUUGCUGUUUGGACGUUACCAACAGAAUAAACACCGGCUAACUUCGU